CCUACGGGUGGCAGCAGUGAGGAAUAUUGGUCAAUGGGCGGAAGCCUGAACCAGCCAAGUAGCGUGCAGGAUGACGGCCCUACGGGUUGUAAACUGCGUUUAUACGGGAAUAACGCGCCUUACUUGUAGGGCUUUGCAUGUACCGUAUGAAUAAGGACCGGCUAAUUCCGUGCCAGCAGCCGCGGUAAUACGGAAGGUCCGGUCGUUUUCCGGGUUUAGUGGGUGUAAAGGGAGCGUAGGGGGCAUGUCAAGCGUGCUGUGAAAUGGCCGGGCCCAACCCGGGCCUUGCAGCGCGAACUGGCGUGCUUGAGUCCGCGGAAAGCAGGCGGAAUUCGUCGUGUAGCGGUGAAAUGCUUAGAUAUGACGAAGAACCCCGAUUGCGAAGGCAGCUUGCUGCAGCGGAACUGACGCUGAUGCUCGAAAGCGCGGGUAUCGAACAGGAUUAGAUACCCCAGUAGUC
rnacentral:rRNA from 1 species